rnacentral:rRNA from 1 species
AUUGAACGCUGGCGGCAGGCCUAACACAUGCAAGUCGAACGGUAACAGGAAGCAGCUUGCUGCUUCGCUGAGGAGUGGCGGACGUGUGAGUAAUGUCUGGGAAGCUGCGUGAUGGAGGGGGAUAACUACUGGAAACGGUAGCUAAUACCGCAUAAUGUCGCAAGACCAAAGAGGGGGGCCUUCGGGGCUCUUGCCAUCGGAUGUGCCCAGAUGGGAUUAGCUUGUUGGUGGGGUAACGGCUCACCAAGGCGACGAUCCCUAGCUGGUCUGAGAGGAUGACCAGCCACACUGGAACUGAGACACGGUCCAGACUCCUACGGGAGGCAGCAGUGGGGAAUAUUGCACAAUGGGCGAAAGCCUGAUGCAGCCAUGCCGCGUGUAUGAAGAAGGCCUUCGGGUUGUAAAGUACUUUCAGCGGGGAGGAAGGGAGUAAAGUUAAUACCUUUGCUCAUUGACGUUACCCGCAGAAGAAGCACCGGCUAACUCCGUG